AUAAAAUACUUAUUAGGAAAAGAGGGUUUUUGGCACCGAGCGUUGAGAGAAUCGCUGCUCCACAGACGUGUCCUGGAGUACAAAGUUUCCAAAAUGUUCUAGAAAGCACUGAACUUCCUGCGCCCUCAAGGGAAGGUACGCGCUGGUAUGUGUGGAGUGGUCUGAGCUCCUCGCCAAGAUGUUAAAAACAAGCCGGCCUCCUCUCGGGUAGCAGGCCCUCCCCCAACGCCCGCCACGUGGCUCCGCAGAGGGCCCCUCUCCGGGCAGCGCCCCCGGGGCUGGGCACCUCCCACCGCUCGGGUCCAAGUCCCUCCUGGGCCCGGGCGCAACCUCGGGACGCGCUCCCCAGCCAGGGCCCCCGGGAUCAGGGCCCCUGUGGCCCCUGACUUCUUCUUAUGAAUGUUUUUUAAAAGAAAAAAAAUGUAAAUCAUUACUCAGCUCAGCUCAGUCGCCAGGCAAACUGUGUUUAAUAAAUUAGCUUAAUCUAUUCCGCAAGUGGUUUGUGAGUGCAGUGUUUCCUCCAGUUAAGGAAAACAUUUAUAUUCUCUCCGGGCCCUGCGUUCCCGGGCUCCAGAGUCACUCCCCGGGGGCGGGGGGCUCUCCGCCGCUGCCCGCCGAGACCCCACCUCGAGCCCAGGGCGGGCGGCCGGGAGGGCAGUUGGUGGCCGCGUGGCUUUGUCCCCGUCGGGCCCCUGGCAGCAGCCCGAGGCGGCCGUACCCACCCGGCUUCCUCGCGGCCCAGAUCCCCACCCGGCGCGCUUUAUGCUCCUCCGAAGGGGCCUGACUGCUCCCCAUGAAAUGAUAAGUCAUUAUGUCACCAGGAGGGAAGAAAGCGAGUACAAGUAUCACAGUAGAGAGAGAACCUUAAAAGCGGAUAGUGAUGACCACGGAAGUUCUCAGGAGCACGUGCAUUGAGAACGCCCUUGAAGAGCUUGCCUAAUGAAGUACUCAUGUGGUCUGAAGGAGUAUUUUAAAUCAGUCAUCAGUGUCUCCUCAAGCCUUUUCCUCAAACUGUAAUAUGGAGUUCAAAUUGCUAAAGCAUAAGUGAUUAAAAAGCUCACAUUUACAAGAAAAUGUGUAGGUCCUUCAGUCCAAGCGUUUUAAACUUUAGAGUGCAUGAGAACUCCCUGGGGGAGCUUGUAGGAUGCUGACUUCGAGGGCUCACUGACCUCUCCGUAAGAAAUUGUGUGCCUAGUCCCUGGGUUGCCAAUUAGGAAACAACAACAUGUGGCUGUUUGACAGUGACUUGCCCAAGGUCACCUCACCAGGUGGUUGUAGAGCCUGGACCACAAGAAAACCAUGCCUCCCGCUGGUCGCACAGCCGUGCUCUCUUCCGUCAGUACCUGGUCCUUGUCUCCGAGAUGAUUUUGGUUUCUGUCAAAAUGCUUCCUGAAUUGUUCACCCAGAAAAAAUGAUGUUCGCUUCAUGGAGAUAGUUCCAGAGUAACGUCUCCCUCUUCCUUCCUUUCACAGAG
rnacentral:lncRNA from 1 species